GUUAGCAGGUUGGAUUUCGUGCGACGGGUAAAAGGUGACAGGUGAACAAAUCGUAGGCCUGGAGCUGCUAGAAACAGCCUCUCUCUGUAAACGUCACCAUCUCUCCAGUACCAUCUGCUGUCAGCCGGCUACCACACUGACACACAAAGGUACCAGCUUCCAACCAGUAACCGUGACUAACUCCUAACAAUAGAAUUCAAAUCGCAGACUGCUUAAUCCACGGGAUCGAGGUUUGCACAGAUAACUGACAGAAACUGGAUCCCAAGACGUGAGGAAUGCAAACUCUACAAUACUCCGUGAGCUCAAUAUCAAACAUAAAUACAAAAUGAAGAAGACCACCAUCGCUUUGCCACAUCAUGCGGGGCAGGAAUCUUGUUCUUUUAAGGGCUGAACCUGUUUGCAGCCGAGCUCGAAAGGAUCGAGUCUAACACAGUUUACUUACCUCAGCGAGAACAGUUUAUACAAUCAAAGGCUGUUUAACCUCAAACAGCACACUUCUUUGAGACUUGGUAAAUAUGCAGGACCAGUAUGAACCAAUUUCUAUAUUCCUUGCGUAUACUUGUGUUAAUCCGGAUUAUUUUACACUGAUACAAAUUGAGAGAAUAUUUCGACAGGUGUCUUUUUCGUUACUGGUAGUCACGUUAUCAGUUUAGUGAAAGGACGAUGUGUUUAAUCUUACAAAGUACUUUAGUUAUCACUGAUCUCAUGAAACUAUAUCAAGGGCCCAAUGUUUUAUUUUUAUGCUUUACAAUCAGCGUUCAACAAUAUAAUUUAGUUCACUUUUGUGUCAAUAAGUUAAGAAU